UUUGUUUUUCAUUAGAAAGUAAAAGUAAAUUUUAUUCUUAAUUGGUAUUCAUUCAAUAAAUAUUUAGUAAGAGGUUUAUCACAAGGUUAACAACUGCAUUUUAAAAAGUCAUGGUUUAUAAGAUGAGCCAUUUUUUAAAUGUACCAUUUAAAUGGAUACUUUUUAUAUGUAUUGUCUUAUCUCAAAGUUUGCAAGAGAUGAUUGAGACCUGACUUUAAGGACCCAAACCAGUGAGGAGCCUGAAUUUGAGUAUUCACCUUUUACUGUCUUUGUAGAGAGCUGGGUAAAGCCAUCAUCGACCUGUCCCUGAUUUUUUCCUGACUUCUUCAUUUUUUCUCCCUAGAUUACCAUAAAGAUCAGUUCCUUGCCUUCCAAGGUCUGGGAGUAUAGAUGCCCUUUAUUGAGAAUUGGCUUUAGUAAUCUAAUUGGAUCUAGACUAUAGAUUUCAUUUUUCCUUAAUCUAAUUUUAUGACCUCAUUUUGUAUUAGUGAAAAGUUUUUCUUUUUUCAAUAAAAACAUGGAAAGGUAAUUUAGUAGUUGCUUUUGAUGUCUGUAAAAGAGAGAUAAUGAAGAAUAAGAAAAAAAUAUAUAAAAUGUUUAGAGUGGUAACUGGCACAUAGUAAUCACUCCACAAAUGUUAGUAAAUUAUAUACAAUAUGUUUAAGCACAAUUAGGGAAGAAAAAUCUUAUAUUGAGUAGGAGUGGUUUCUGGAAUGAUACUUGCUCUGUAGCUUACUAUUUGAAAAGAAACUAGCAGAUACAGUGCUGAUUUAUUCCCUCUGCCCUUUGUGAAGUGAUACCAAUAGUCUUUCAUUAGCAAUGGGAGGUGCCGAAGACCUUUCUCAUCAGAGCCCUCUUACAGAGUAAUUUAUUCCCUUCAUUGGUUUUAUCUUUUGCUAAGUGGGUGUCAGGGGAGUCCUAAAUCACACUGGAAAUCCAAGACUUGGUAAAGUUGUCCCACCAGGGAGAUAAGGAGCUGGAGACAGUGGCAGCUCCAAGGAGAGCAGCUGGCUCCAAGGAGAGCAGCUGGCUCCUAGACCUCUUGGUGCUUUCCCCAUGCCUUCUCCUGGUGCCUGUGGUCUCCUCCAUAUUUCUGGCACCCCGGGCCUGCUCCUGAUAGAACCUCUGCAUCUUAUCUUCAAUUUACCACCAUUUUCCUCUUUUUUAAUUUAAAUAUGAGAAAUGUAAUCCACUUGCUCUCAUUAUGGGUUGCCGCUACUUACUCCUGAAUCUGGAUUCCUCUGUUUAAGGUUAUCUGUCAGGCGGGAUGCCACUUCCUAGCUGUCUCCCAUAUUGCUGGUUUAACAUCAGCAAUGUGCUGGAUAUAAACACACACACCUUUGAAAGCAUUUUUGAAAGCAUAGUCUGUUGCUAUUACCUACAGUAACAGAUAGUCGUUUGCAAUGCAGAACAAACAAUGAAAAGAAAUCAAUUUUUGUGUUAAUAAUAAUUUUAGGCUCCAGUGAAAUAUAAGUGAUAUUAGCUGGGCUCUUGUUGCAUUGGAUCUGAUUUGAGAUUAGGCCCAUUCAAACCAUUUGGUUUGGUAUUAGAUCCAGCUGCCCUGACACUGGCCUAUGUUGGAUCUGGCUGGGACCACCACCAGGUCUGGUAGCUUUCUCGUUCCCUUGAGAAAUUCUUCGCUUUUUACCUGCACUUUGGAUCCCAGCUUGCCCAUUUGUCUCAGGAUGGGUUUUUCUGCUUUCCAGGCCAUCCCCCCAACUGCCCCAUACCCUUGAAUUCAGACAAGGUCCCUCAAUCAGUGUGUAAGGCAGAUAUUUCCCUAACCUGCUUCUGAAGCUGGCCAUCAUGCUUCUCUAGUUCUCAGAUAGGUCAGUUGACAUCUUGCAACUCUCAGGCCCACAUCACCUUAAGGUUAGAAUCAUCUUCCUGCAUGCCUUUCUGCAUACAAUUAACUGUUUCCCAAAAGCAACAGCAUACAUCCAACUGUUUUGUUCAGGACUCUCAUUUUCUGUUCAUUUUCAUAGCACAGAUGAAUGUCCUGACCAGAACCCAAAUCACGAUCAAGCUCUUUCCCACCUGAGAAUAAGUGAGCCAAUCUAUGGAAAGUUGCUAGCAAAGUGCCUGAAUGAAAUACUGUUCCUUAAUAACAGUAAUUACUAUGGUUAUUGUUAUUAUGGCAUUUCUAAUUCAUCCAUCAGGCACCAUUCUUAUUUUCUUAUUUUCCUUUUCUUUCUCCAGGCAGAUGACUGAUUUUCCAAAUGUAUAAUGUUCAGAUCUUUAAAUAAACAACACAUUUUUCUCCAAGGGUCAUUCCCUCUCAGUAUUUGCUAACGUAUUCCACUCUUUAUAGCAAUGAGGAGUCGGGCUUAAGAAAUAUAACACAAGUGGGUAUUUAGUUGUUUGACAUUGAAGGCCUACUUUGUAAUCUUCUUAAAGACAUGGGACCAUCAUUUCCAGAGGUUUCAUUCAAUUCUUGAGCUAAUGUUUAGUAGCAGUGUGGUUAUGAGCAAUUUACAUAAUCUCUUUGAGCUUCAGUUUUUAUACCUGUAAAAUAAGGGUAGUAAUGUCUUAUUCUGUGCAUAUAACCAGGAAUAAAUGAGAUACCUUUGUGAAAAUUAUUAAAUAAGCAAAAUGUGAGAUGCCAUUGUGCUUUAGUGCACUCGUACUGCUAUGACAAAGUACCUUAGAUUGGGUAAUUUAAAAACCAUAGAAAUUUACUGCUCACAAUUCUGGAGGCUGGCAAGUCCAAGAUCAAGGUGCCAGCAGAUUUAGCACCUGGUGAGGGCCCUUUCCUCAUAGAUGGUGCGUUCUGUGGAUCUUCACAAGGUGGAAGGGGCAGACAGAUUCCUUUAAGCCUUUCAGGAGAGCAUGAAUCCCAUUCCUGAGGGUGGUGGUGUCUUGACUUAAUCACUACAAAGCCUUCACCUUUUAAUACUAUUGCAUUGGAGAUUAGGCUUCAACAUGAGAAUUUUGGGGAGACACAAAUAUUCAGAUCAUAGCACACUGUAAGGAACAACUAUUAUUCAGAAAUAUUUUAAGGGGAAAAUUCAGUGACUUUCAGCUUUAAAAUUGAGGGCAGAACUUCAAUUCACUACCAUUAUUUUGCAUUUUAUUAUUUUCUGUUUCUCUCCAUUUUUUGCCUACUACUUCAUUUAUAUGAAAAUAUUCUUGGAGUUUUAUUUUUAAAAUCGUGCUACUUUCAUUAUCGACUUUGCAGAUGCCAAAUAAUACAUAAUGAGUUGUCACUCAUGGGCUUUCUAGUAUUUUUAAAUUUAGAGUAUCAAGAUUGAUCAUUAUGUCUAAGUAAUGACAGUUUGAGCUAUCAAGAAAUAAUAUGUGUACAGCAAGAUGUUACCAUGUAAUAAACAUAUUUUUAAAUUUUACUAGUUGUCAGUCUGUUUUAUACAGUUAGGGUCUGUGAGAGAGUAAAAGAACUGAAAUGAUUCUCUUUGCCUUUAUUCUACCACAUGUGAGUACUUUUUUCUUCAUUCCCCUUUCCUGGAGAACUCAUGUAUUUCGAGGGCACUGAACUGAUUUGCUGCUGUCAACCCUGAGUAAAUCUUCUUCCAAGGCUUGGUUUCCUUAAUAGAGCCACCCUUACCAAGUUUUUUGUAUUCCCAAGCCCCAUGUUGCUCUGGGAGCAAUAGAAGUGUAGGUGCAGAUCUGGGACCACAUCCUGCUCCCUGUGAAAGAGAUAUAGGAGAGGGAAGGACAGGGAAAAGUAAGGAGAGAAGGGUAAGCAAGAUAGAAACAUAAAAUGUGAGCACUAUGGGCUCACUUAAAGUAGGGAUAAAUUAAGAUCUUCCAAGAAUGACUAAGCAUGCCUCAUUCUACUCAACUCCUGUAUCCAUAGAAAUACAAAGGACGAAAAGGAGAUCUUUCUAGGUUUGUGAACCCAAUUUCUUAAAAACCACACUUUGAAUUUAAAGUAGGCCAGGAUUUCUGUCUUUAGUGUUUUCCAACACUCUUCAAGAUGUUGAACAAAGGAAAUGUCAUUCCAUUAACGAUAUUAGUAGUAGCAAUAAUAAUAAUGCCUCACAUUAUUUUAGCACCUGUUAUGCAUUAGAUAUUGUUCUUUAUGGCAGCUCUAAUGCAUAUAUCAUUUCAGAUGAAAAACCUGAAAGUCCAAAAUAACUUGUCUAAGCAUAGUAAAUGUAGGAACCCAGUGUGCUUAAUAAUCAUAUGCUAAUUCAACCACAAGGGGAUGAGCUUCCUCAACCAUAAUUUAUUUCCCACACAUCACCAAGUCGAGGUCUUAUAUAUAAUAAUGUGAUGGUGAAGGGCUCUAGAGGCCAUUCUACAUCUAAGCAACAAAACACACAAAACAUGGCAGACAGUGGAGCGUCUUUAUUGGCUUUCCAAAUGGAGAUUUCUAGGCAACAUGUUUCAUGUGUUUAGGUGAAACGCUGGUAUCCUUUUGGGUUAAAUUUCUUGUCUAAAUAGCAGUGUAGAAUGCAUAGGAAGUGUUCGAUGACUAUUUGAACACAUGGCAUUGCAAUCCCAAAAGAGUCCUAAAACUUCACUAUGAAUAAGAUUUAUUUUCUUCUUAAUAGGAUUGUUUAAAAAAAGCAUUUUUCUGGAGGUUUUUUUUUCUUCUGUGUGUAUGUGUGUGAGGGUAUCUAUUUGCUUGAUUCAAGAAGAGACACCCUCGCAUGAACAGAUUUAGGAUUGAUGGUUUUGGACAAGUUGAUUCUCAAGGGGAACAUGGGUCAUGUAAAAAAAAUUCCUCACAACAUCUUUUUCUAUCGUCUAGAUAUUGGAUACUAUCACUCAAAAGCCUUUGGAGCUAUAUCUUUCCUCAUCAGGUUGUGGUAAUAUAAACCAUUUUCUACCUUAUUUAUACUUGAAGUUAGGCAAAAGUGAUUUAAAAGAGAAUAUGUAAGAUAAUAGCAAGGCUAAGCUGUUUAUUUUGUAGCUCAAGUGUAAAAGAGGUGCAAUGAAAGCAUUAUGUAGACAAGGCAUACAUUAUAUAUUAUUAUCAUGGUAUAACUGCAAAAUGUUCUGCUCUGGCUUUGGGAACGACUUCUCAGCAUUUGAUAUUUGGAGUUAAUUUGUGAAGGGAAAAAAAAAGCAACAUGAAAGGGUUACAGAGUUUGUAUCUCCUCCUGCACAGAAGUACACAGAGGGUCCAACAAAUCAAAAUGUAGACAUUUGCCAAUAUAAGUAAUGGAUGCUGUGCAAGUCCCAGCUUUCAUGAGGGUAUGCUGCCAGAUGGCUCCAGUCAGGCUUUGCUAAAACACAGGUGCCGAGUCUCUCUGAGCAGUUCCAUUUUCAUGCCUGUCUUUGGAGCCAGGUUCUUUGCUGGCGAGUGCCAGGCUCCAUUCCACUGUCCCCUUGAUGGUGAGGCUCUGUCUCAAUGGAGGCUGUAUAUGCAAAAAGAAAUUUCCAGCUUUAGUUCUCAGCAAUACACUGACAGGUUGAGGGAAGUAGAGGAGAGAGAAGCUGCUGGGGAACGUUAGUUAUCAGCAUGAGUUUUGGAGAAGCUGCUGACUUCCUGUACCCACGUUAGAGGCAAGCCAUGGUAUCAGUGAUAAAAUUUGGGUACCUGCAUACACAUUUAGAAGCUAAAGGAAUAUGAGUUCUCAUUCUAAAGAAAUUAGAAGCUAAAGGACAUGUCUUCUUUUGAAGAAGUUUCCUUUGUAUUAUCAGUUUCUGUCAGUUCUCACUGAUCUGGCAUUUCACUGGGUCCUUGCCUGGACCUAGAUAAAUGUUUGCCAGUUGUUUAGCCUAAUUCAUUUAAUUUAGCUAAGUCUGCAGGAAUAUUGGCUCUUUAAGCAGAUCACUUAGUUGUCAAAAGAAAUAGGAGGCAAAACUUGGUCAGUAUGAUAAUAUACAUUUCUAAAUGUCUCCCUCUUAACAGAAGCAAUUUGGGAACAAUCUCAACCCGUUCAUUUCUCUUUUUCAUUUUUCUUAGUGCAAUAAAAACUUGCAAAGAACUUCAAUUAUGGGAAACAAUUAAAAAUUCAGAUUGCAAAGAGAAGACAUCAGAUUUGCCUCAAACAGGUGCUGGCACAGAUGGCCUGCUCACAAGUCCUGGCUUUAUUUACAGCUUUUAAACACAGACAGAUAAAUUGACAAAAAUGUUUCUUGAUUUUAUAACGUGCUGAAUGCCCAAAUUUGGCUAUAAACUUAUAUUAGUUUGUAAAUGGUUUACUUUAAACCUUGACCUCCCAAGUCAUCAGUAUUCUUAAAAAGACCAUUUGUCUCCCCUGUUGUUUGCACACUCAUGUGAAUAGAUUAUCUCCUAUUUGCUAUUGGUUGGAUAUGCCUUGUUUACUGCCUUGAUCAUUUAAUGAUUGUCUUUAUUAAGUCAAAUUGCAUGUAGUCUGAUGGCUAGAUAUUUCCAACCUCAUUGUGGUUCCUUAAAGGAUAAUUAUGCUGUCUAUAUUUUACUAGCCUUGGAGCAUGGCAUUUAAUAGGAAUAGCAAAAUAAAUGGCAUGGAUCCCAAAUGAAACUAUCUUCAGGAAGGAGUUGAUGGCAUUGUUUCAUCCAGGUGAUAAAAUGUAUCUGGAGGAACAAUACUGUAUAUAUAGCCUGUAGUAUUAUUUAAUCUUUGCUGUGGUCUAAGAUUUGGCAUAGGUGCACCAAAGGUUAAAAUGUUCAAAUUAAAGUGAGUAUUAAAGGGCACCAGAAAAUGAGGACUAACAUACAUCCUUAAAUUGGCUUAUAUUAAGGUAUUAAUUUAUCCGUACCCCAGUCCCAUGUUUCUGAAGGGCUGAAAAACAGAAAAUUGAGAUUCAACUCUGUAUUCAUCAAGGAAAAUAUUUCGGAAGUGAAAGUAUGAAAUGUUGCUUUCUGCAUUUGUGCAUAAGAUCCAUAGAUGUAUCUGUUGAGUAGAUCAUAAGAAAGCUGCUUACUAAUAUGACACCCUGCGCCCUAUGCUUUACAAAGCUGUGUGUAUCUUCCCUCUGUGUGUGCUUAUGUGGUUCAUAAUUAUUAACAAUCUUGAUCUUACAUCCUGAGAUUACUGUUUAUUAUGUAAAUCUUUCUUCUUCUGGAUAUAAUUUAUGUUUUGUGUAUUAGAACUGCAGGGUGGAUCAUCCAUUGGUAUUUGGGGAACUGUAAUGAUUGAAUGUAAUUUUUUUAGACUUUUUCAUUCUUUGCUGGGAUUCAUUUCAUCUAAGGGUGCAGGACAUGGGAGGGGGUGUGUGUCUUUGUAAUAUGUCAUUGUUCUCCUUUAACUCGUUUGUGUGAUUUGCUUUAGUAUUUUCUCUUCUUAAUUAAUGCUUCCAUCCUCAUCCUUGCUGUGGCUGCUCAUGUGUCCUCCUCCUCCUCCUGUCUUCUGCUUCUGACACUAAAGCCCGCAGCCCGCUUGAGAACUCAGUGCCCUGCCUAGCAACCCGCACCUUGGAUGAUGACCCCCGAGUGCGGCGCACUCCCAGCGUGGGAUGGCUAAACAUCCAGACAUUGAAGUACUUUUGUGGAUAAAGUGUCAAAGAAAUUGACCAAAGUCUUCAGUUUGCGUAUGAUGUGGAAAUAUGGCAACUAUUUGGAAAUCAACUUGAGACCAAACCCUGGACCAAUCCUUCUGAGAAACACAUUUUAGUAAUGAGAGAGGAUUCUUCUCAUUGUCUCUUUAUGUGGUACAUUCUCUUCCUAAAUGAUCUGCUUUGAUGUAUAAUCACCUUCCCCAGGGCUUCUAAUACUUACUGUAUCCAUUCAAUAAAUGAAAUAGACACCUAUUGAAUAACUAAGGUGUGCAAAGUCAUGUUAAAUACUGCUGGUUCUACCUACCUAUUCAACCUCACUUUUGUCUCUUCUCAAUAUAAACUCUAAUCAGCUUGUCUCUUUUCUUUUGUCCUAUAUCAUGGAGAAUCCUACCUCCAUGUUUUUGUUGAUAAACUCUACCCUUCCAGGAAUGCUUUUUUUUCUUUCUUUUUUUUUUUUGAUACAGAGUCUUGCUCUGUUGCCCAGGCUGGAGUGCAGUGGCGUGAUCUGUCAUCUCAGCUCACUGCAACCUCUGCCUCCUGAGUUCAAGCGAUUCUCCCGCCUAGCCUCCCGAGGGGCUGGGAUUACAGGCACCCACCACCAUGCCCAGCUAAUUUUUGUAGUUUUAGUAGAGAUGGGUUUUUGCCAUGUUGGCCAGGCUGUUUUCAAACUCCUGACCUCAGGUGAUCCGCCGGUCUUGGCCUCCCAAAGCUCUGGGAUUACAGACGUGAACCACCACUCAUGGCCCAGGAAUGCCUUUUCUAGUGUACCUAUCCAAAACUAUUCAGUAGGACCUGAAUGAAGUUCCAUCUCCUUUGUAAAACAGUUUUUAUAAACACAGAAGAUAUUUUCAAGUCUUAAAAUUCCAUAACUGCUAUUUUCUGUGCCUUACAAUGGAAGAUUUACCAUGUAUUGUUUUAUAUCGUUCUCUGAUGUUUCAUUGUCUUUAUUUUUUUAUUUCAACUGUCUACAUAAAAAAAAAAGCCUUCUGUAGGGGCUGUAUCUCAUGUGUUUGUGUACCCUCUGGUGCAGGUACCUGAAACAAGGGUGUUGUACAAUACACAUUUGUUGACCCUUGAUACUCCAUCAUUUCAUUAAAAGCAACCAACAGCCCAGUUUUCACUAGGGCCCAUCUUGGUCACCAGAAACCGCUAACCAAAAGUGAAUAUUGUUUACUUGUAAAAACUAUUUCCCCAUAUUGCUGCAUGUCCUGGUCUGAUGAAUUUGAUUAUCAGUUUAUUCUAAUUGUUAACAUGGACUUAAAAAACUGCCAGAAUAUUAGCUAAAAACAAAUUUGUGACAAGGUUUUUUAAAGUUUAUCUUUAAAUAUUUUAGCAAGAUAUUUUCAGGCCUAGUGUAACUAGAAGUUACUAACUACCUUUAGAAAGCUUCAUUUAAAGUCGCUUUUAGGGAGUAAGCUCUCAUCAUUUUUACCUUGUGUGCUUCUUAUCUUCGUUGUCACCUGAGGCAGAUGUGAUCCUAGAACUCUUAUCCAUUUCAAAUGCUGCCAAGGUAUUGAAUUAGAAUUUGGAACAAAAUCAAAAAUGAUUUCUCUUACAGAUCUCACCGGCAGGCCUGAAACCAGCCUGGGCCAGGGAAAACAAAAGAGAAGCUACUUUUCAGGACGAGUUAAGACCCACCUAAAUGCUUUGCCAUUAUUAGAGCAUAAGAACAUACCCUAUCUUGCUAGAUCCAGAAUGGCUUUUCACUCUUGCGUGCUUAUCUGUGAAUUCAGUUUGACAUCUAGCAGCCAGCAUCAUCUGAGCCCUUAGAAAACACUUGUGUCCUUUUGCAUUUACUGGCAGUCAAAAUCAACUGCUUCAGACUCUCAGGUCUGAACUUCAAAGAAGAAAAGGAGGUUCAGAGUUUUUUCUAUCAUCUUAUGCACAUUCCUGGCAUCUGCCUUCACCUUGCCUUGUAUUAUAUCUGUCUAGUUUGUCCAUCUACUGGGCAGGGACCUGGUCCAGUUCAGUGUUUUGCUUUACAGUUACUUACCCAGUGUUUAAUGUUACUAUAAUCAUCCCAAGUAUUAGUAGCUGUAAUACUUUUUUCUUUGUUUUUUUAUUUCAUGAAACCACAGUGGUCUGACUAUAGAUUCUUGUUUCAUCCUACAAUUAGGCUACACAGUUAACAUUAUAAUUUAAAGAACUGAAUUGUAAGUGGAUAUUUUUUGCUUUUAAAAAUUUUUCUUUGAGCAUUUCUGGAAUUAAACAAAUCAAAAUCUUUUAACUUUUGGAGAGUUUACUGACUAAAUUAAAUUUACAUAAUUUUUCUCUGGCUCUCGGGUCUUCGUAAAAUUUUACUUCCUUAGGAAAGUGGUGAACCCAGAAAGUUCACUUUAACUAAAGUUCAAUUCAACAGCUGUUCACCAAGCUGCUUCUCUUCUAGUUAUAUGGUCCAAUCAGAGGGAAGGAGAUGAGGGAAACUCACGGAUAACAAUCAUUUGAGAGAAGCUAUAGGAAGUGUCACCAGGAGGGUCGGGGGAGACUGGUUUGUCUAUAAUGUGUACAACAGUAGCAUGUAUUAUACUCUCCGCAAAUACUAAUUAGAAAAAUGAAUGGUGGGGUAUAAACAGAGAAUUGGGAAAAGAAUUCCUGGGAGAGACAGACUUUUCAGUGGACCUUAAAGGAUGGGUUAUAUUUCCAUAAAUGGAGAUUGUAGUAAGAGCAGGGUGGGACAUUGAAAGAUCAUGCUAGGCUAGAGAAAA